rnacentral:rRNA from 1 species
GACAGAGGAUGCAAGUGUUAUCCGGAAUGGUUGGGCGUAAAGCGUCUGUAGGUGGCUUUUCAAGUCCGUCGUCAAAUCCCAGGGCUCAACCCUGGACAUGUGGUGGAAACUACCACGCUGGAGUACGGUAGGGGCAGAGGGAAUUUCUGGUGGAGCGGUGAAAUGCAUUGAGAUCGGAAAGAACACCAACGGCGAAAGCACUCUGCUGGGCCGACACUGACACUGAGAGACGAAAGCUAGGGGAGCAAAUGGG